rnacentral:rRNA from 1 species
UACGUAGGGUGCGAGCGUUGUCCGGAAUUAUUGGGCGUAAAGAGCUUGUAGGUGGUUUGUCGCGUCUGCUGUGAAAAUCCGAGGCUCAACCUCGGACUUGCAGUGGGUACGGGCAGACUAGAGUGUGGUAGGGGAGACUGGAAUUCCUGGUGUAGCGGUGGAAUGCGCAGAUAUCAGGAGGAACACCGAUGGCGAAGGCAGGUCUCU